UCGAAAUAGCUUUAGGGCUAGCCUGUUAUUAAGAAUACUCGGGGUAGAGCACUGAUUUGACUAGGGGGUUUCACGACCUACCGACUCAUAUCAAACUUCGAAUACGAGUUAUUUAUAUAACGGAGUCAGACGGCGACAGAUAAGUGCCGUCGUCAAAAGGGAAACAGCCCAGAUCCACAGCUAAGGUCCCGAAGUAUAGGUUAAGUGGUUAAGGAUGUGUCAUUGCAUAGACAACCAGGAUGUUGGCUUAGAAGCAGCCACACAUUAAAAGAGUGCGUAAUAGCUCACUGGUCGAGUGAAGAUGCGCCGAAGAUUCACGGGGCUAAAACCUAACACCGAAGCAUGGGGAUGUAAGUAAUUACAUCGGUAGAGGAGCAAUGUAUGAAAGGCUGAAGUCAGAACGGAAGUGCUGAUGGACGAGAUACAAGAGAGAAUGCCGGCAUAAGUAGCGAGAGAGGAGCGAGAAACUCCUCCGUCGAAAGUCUAAGGUUUCCUGGGGAAGGUUCGUCCGCCCAGGGUAAGUCGGGACCUAAGUCGAGGCCGAAAGGCGUAGAUGAUGGACAAUCGGUAGAGAAUCCGAUACCACCGAAUAUCGUUUAAAUGACGCGGUGACACAGGAGGAUAGUCAGAUCACGGGAGUGGAAAUCCGUGGGCAAGGCGAGGUAGUGGCAGGUAGUAAAGUACGCUUGCUGUUAACUAUUGCGCUGAUGCGGAGGGAAAAUAGUAGCGAAGCUGAUGAAUCCACGCUGGCGAGAAAAGCCGCUAAAUAUGGUAAGAGGUGCCCGUACCGCAAACCGACACAGGUAGACGAGAAGAAAAUUCUAAGACGAACGGGAGAACCCUUGUUAAGGAACUCGGCAAAAUUACCCCGUAACUUCGGGAGAAGGGGAGCCAUCGAGAGAUGGUCGCAGUGAAGAGGCCCAAGCGACUGUUUACCAAAAACACAGGUCUCUGCGAAAGCGCAAGCUGACGUAUAGGGGCUGACGCCUGCCCAGUGCCGGAAGGUUAAGAGGAGAUGUUAGCGCAAGCGAAGCGUUGAAUUUAAGCCCCGGUGAACGGCGGCCGUAACUAUAACGGUCCUAAGGUAGCGAAAUUCCUUGUCGGGUAAGUUCCGACCCGCACGAAUGGCGUAACGACUUGGGCGCUGUCUCAACAGGGGGCCCGGCGAAAUUGAAGAAUGCGUGAAGAUGCGUAUUAACCCGCGACUGGACGGAAAGACCCCGUAGAGCUUUACUGUAACUUGAUAUUGAAUCACGGCAACGGAUGCACAGGAUAGGUGGGAGACUUGGAAGAGCCCGCUUCGGCGGACUUGGAGUCAUCCUUGGGAUACCACCCUUCUGUUGCUGGGAUUCUAACGGUCAGCCGUGAACCGGUGAACGGACAGUGUCAGGUGGACAGUUUGACUGGGGCGGUCGCCUCCUAAAGAGUAACGGAGGCGCCCAAAGGUUCCCU
rnacentral:rRNA from 1 species